GACGAACGCUGGCGGCGUGCCUAAUACAUGCAAGUAGAACGCUGAAGGAGGAGCUUGCUUCUCUGGAUGAGUUGCGAACGGGUGAGUAACGCGUAGGUAACCUGCCUGGUAGUGGGGGAUAACUAUUGGAAACGAUAGCUAAUACCGCAUAAUAGCAGUUGUUGCAUGAUAACUGUUUGAAAGGUGCAAUUGCACCGCUACCAGAUGGACCUGCGUUGUAUUAGCUAGUUGGUGGGGUAACGGCUCAUCAAGGCGACGAUACAUAGCCGACCUGAGAGGGGGAUCGGCCACACUGGGACUGAGACACGGCCCAGACUCCUACGGGAGGCAGCAGUAGGGAAUCUUCGGCAAUGGACGGAAGUCUGACCGAGCAACGCCGCGUGAGUGAAGAAGGUUUUCGGAUCGUAAAGCUCUGUUGUAAGAGAAGAACGAGUGUGAGAGUGGAAAGUUCACACUGUGACGGUAUCUUACCAGAAAGGGACGGCUAACUACGUG
rnacentral:rRNA from 1 species